AGCACUACACGAGGUGACUUGGCAGCACAAAGCAUUGGGAAAUGCAUGACAACUAUGAGCGGGACCAAGACACGUUGAGCUUGGCAGAGGAGAAAUGUGAUCUUCAAAUUGCAGAAUCUGAGGGGAGUCUCAGGCAUUCCAAAGUGAGGAAGUGGAUUCAGAUGUAGUAUCUGUGAGAAAGUACUGACAUGUAAAGGUGGAUAUACUGUUCAUCAGCAGAUGACUUGAAGUCAAAAG